rnacentral:rRNA from 1 species
UCGAGCGAGACCUUCGGGUCUAGCGGCGGACGGGUGAGUAACGCGUGGGAACGUGCCCUUCUCUGCGGAAUAGCCACUGGAAACGGUGAGUAAUACCGCAUACGCCCUUCGGGGGAAAGAUUUAUCGGAGAAGGAUCGGCCCGCGUCUGAUUAGGUAGUUGGUGGGGUAAUGGCCUACCAAGCCUACGAUCAGUAGCUGGUUUUAGAGGAUGAUCAGCCACACUGGGACUGAGACACGGCCCAGACUCCUACGGGAGGCAGCAGUGGGGAAUAUUGCACAAUGGGCGCAAGCCUGAUGCAGCAACGCCGCGUGAGGGAUGAAGGCCUUCGGGUUGUAAACCUCUUUUAGCAGGGAAGAAGCGAAAGUGACGGUACCUGCAGAAAAAGCACCGGCUAACUACGUGCCAGCAGCCGCGGUAAUACGUAGGGUGCAAGCGUUGUCCGGAAUUAUUGGGCGUAAAGAGCUCGUAGGCGGUUUGUCACGUCUGCUGUGAAAAUCCAAGGCUCAACCUUGGACUUGCAGUGGGUACGGGCAGGCUAGAGUGCGGUAGGGGGAGAUGGGAAUUCCUGGUGUAGCGGUGGAAUGCGCAGAUAUCAGGAGGAACACCAAUGGCGAAGGCACAUCUCUGGGCCGUAACUGACGCUGAGGUGCGAAAGCGUGGGUAGCAAACAGGAUUAGAUACCCUGGUAGAAGGGC